GACGGAGGGGGCUAGCGUUGUUCGGAAUUACUGGGCGUAAAGCGCGUGUAGGCGGUUGUCCAAGUCGGGUGUGAAAGCCUUGAGCUCAACUCAAGAAAUGCACUCGAUACUGGGCGACUAGAGUGCCGGAGAGGAUAGUGGAAUUCCCAGUGUAGUGGUGAAAUACGUAGAGAUUGGGAAGAACACCAGUGGCGAAGGCGGCUAUCUGGACGGUUACUGACGCUAAGACGCGAAAGCGUGGGGAGCAAACAGG
rnacentral:rRNA from 1 species